UAUUGAUUUCCUAAGUUUUGGAGAAGAACAUUAUUAUUUUAUUAUUAUAUUAUUGUGUUACCCAAUCAGUGACAGUGGUUGCGGUUGUGGACUCCAUGCACCUCCCCGGCGUCAUCUUCUUCUUCCUUCUUCUCUCGAUACAAACAGGAUUAGGAAGAGACUGAGAAUUUGUGCAGCUGGUUCACAAUAUCUGUGUUCAUCUAUUAAAAAUGGCUUGCCAAAUAGGAUCUAUGUGGAGGUUAUCAAUUACAGAGAAUGGAUGCAUAGAAAAAUCGUGUAUGGCCCUCGCCAAUUCUAGAGCACACUGCUGUCGCUGCGAGCCAAGCUGUGGUAUUUUAGGUCUAAAACUUGGCCUAAAGUCAGCGCCAUUUCACCAGAGCUGUUUCCUUGGAAGAAGAGCCCGCUGGAAAAUAGCUUUUGCCUUGAACACAGGUGGAGUGCCUGGUGAUGGUGAUCAACAAGGCCUCGAUGAUUCCAGUUCCGGUUUCAGUGGUACUCGAUUGAGUAGGAUACUGAGUGCAGGUGGUAGACAACUUCUAGAAAAGCUGAACUCAGCUAGAAAGAACCUCCCCAUGAAAGUAUUCUUGCUACUUCUAGGUUUCUACACAGCAAAUGCUCUUGCUACAAUCCUUGGACAAACCGGUGAUUGGGAUGUUCUGGUUGCCGGUGUUGUGGUGGCUGCGAUCGAGGGAAUUGGUAUGCUGAUGUAUAAAAAGCCGCCUAGUGUGAGGACAGGGAGGUUUCAGUCUUUUCUUAUGAUGAUGAAUUUCUGGAAGGCUGGCAUAUGUUUGGGCCUCUUUGUUGAUGCUUUCAAGUUAGGCAGCUAAGGAUACCCAAGGCCUAUCCCUGUUGUUGUAUCAUGGCCCUUACGCAAUAUCUUCUGGUCCAAGAAGGUCAAUACCGGGCUUCAACUCCACCUCAGGUUGAUCAGUCUCUGCUUCUGUUGUAACAAAAGCAAUAAAUUUUCCUUUCGGGGCCACGUUGUGAGCAUAAGAGCAGCAGAAGAGAUACCUUCAAUAACAGGGGAAAAAUCAGAAAACUAGAACCUACAAAGUUGGAAGUUACAACAC